GGAGGAGGGGCCGGGUUGCGCCGCGCCGGGCGAGGUGGAAGGCGGGGAGGAUCGCGGCUGCGGGUUAGGCUUUGAAAGUCAGCCUCGCAGGCAUUGCAGUAGAGCCCCGAACCGCGGAGGGGAGCGGCGCAGAGCUCGGCUCGCUGUAUGAAGCAUGGAAUUGCUGAGGGAGAAAAUUAGUGCAUCCUUGGACUCCUGAAGGAAUAGCCUUCCUUAUGGGACCACUUUCAAGGCCUGACGCAUACUAAUAUCCUUCCUUGCCAGCUCUGGGUGGCUGAGAAGGAAAUCACAAGGGUGGAGUGAAAAGCAGAUUGAUAGAGCUCCAGCACUGACGCUUUCAAGAUAAUUUUUGAUCUGAGAUUGUUAACUUGGCAUCUGCUGAAAGCAUCCCAAGAAGCUGGAGAUGUGAUCAACUGACUACUAGAACUUCUGGCCUUCUCUUGAUAAAUGGAUUUUAAAUUGUAUUUGGUUGUUUCAGAAGAGUGGGGGCAGUUCCCCUCCCUACUGUAUUCCCUACUGCUUUGCUUUUGUUGCUCUUUUUGACUUGUACCUCUGCUGAUCCAGUGUCACUCACUUCAGUGUUAAUUUGAUAUUUGUGAGUCAUCUAUCAGUUCAGUUAGGUUCUGCAGAAAUGUAUGAGCUUGAACUUGUGAGAUACCACAUCGACAUUACCAUUAAUAAAGUUCCUUGGUAUCAUUCAAGUUUAGCAACAGAGACAGAAUGAAAACCUUUGGCUUUAUGGCUUUAUCCUUUUAACCACUCUAAAAAACAACAACAACAACAGCAUAUGAUAUUUAGUAAGAAGAUAUGCAGCCAAUGAAACUUUUACCUUCUGGUUGCUGACAAUGCCUUACUAUAUAUUGAUUCAGAAAACACUGGAGUUGCUUAUUGAUGGUAUAUUGAACUGGGAAAUGAUUCUGUCAAGGAAAGAUGGCUUUAUAUAAUACAAGGGACAUAGGUUGUGACCCAUCAGCUGUGCUCAAAUCUCUACCAGGGCAGACUAAGUUGGAAAUAAUAUCUAGCCUGAUCAGCUAAAUUGACAGAGUGGUGGUUUUUUGGAUGCUGUUAGAUAAUGACUUUAUAGUACAUAGGAGACUUCAAGUUGCAUAAACUGUCUUUGCUUACUGUGCUCGUGACAGAGUUGCUUUGUUUUAUGACAGGUUCCUUCUUUCUGUACUUAACCAGUAGGCAUUAAAUAGACAGCCUAAAAUUGUAAUUACAAUUCUGGUUUAUUCCUGUGUUGUUUCCCCCCCACACUCUGCAAUGUUAGAAAGGCUUACAGAAAGGAGUUUACUGUCUUGCCCCUAUUGCCUUUGUUACUGCUAGUUUAAUUUGUUAGGCUUUCAGCACAUGGCAAAAGAUCACCUGCUGUGCAGGUGUGUGUUGAGCAACUUGAGGAACAGGCGAGCUGGUAUAAUCAUUCUGGUCUAGUUUAGAGUAGGAAAUCUUGCUCUAUGCCCUGAAUAAUGACUGAUUAUAUUGUAAACUGCAUUCAGAUCUUGAAGGUGAACGUGCUUUCAUUAAGUUCUAGAACUCCAACUUGACUGGACUCUAAUACUGGUGAUCUAUUACUGUUUUUCACUAUGAUGUGCGUCUGUUUAUCAUGUGCCUAAUUCUGCAGUAUUAAGAUAUGUUGCGUAAAAUUUGAUGCCUCUUUAGUGCAGGGAUCUUUAUGUGUGCCUAAUUUCCCCAUUAUUUUGGUGUCUUAUUAAAAUCCAUAGAUCUAAUUUGUCAGUAAAAACAAGUUUUAUAAAAUGAGUGGAAUUACUGUUUUACCAUUUGUCUAUAUGUUAUUUUGACUACAAAAAUUUAUUGAUGUGAAAUUUCGCAUAAACAUGAAAAAGGACAUUGUUUUUAAAACUGGCAUAAAAAUUCCUUUAUGGAAUUAAACAGAGCAGCCAGCCCAGUGCUUCAAGAUGAUCAGUUGCUGUGGGCUACUUUACUGAGUUGAUCAGACAGAGGUACUCUCGUCAUUGUGCUAGCUGACAUUUGGUUUUGUUGUUCUCCUGGCUAACCAUUCAUUCAUUGCUGUUAGUCAUUACCUCCUUUUAAAAGACAACACACUGAAAAUAGCUUACAUCUUCAGGCUCCCUUUGCUGAGAGCUUUGACUCUGCCCAUUAAAGUCUUCUUUAGGGAAAUAAAAUAGACAUUUCAUGUCUGAAAUGCAAUUCUAUGUUGUCACAGUGUAAAAACAAAUAAACAAACAAAAAAAACCACUAAAUAAUCCCACUAUCCAUUGAUUGUGGUCUACUACAUCCCUUUGACUUGAAAAGCAUGCAGUUUGAUCCCAAAUUCAGAAGUAGCUAAAGUCCCCUGCUCCUGCAGGGGUUGUAGAGGGUGAGCUUGUAUUUAGCAGGAGAAAAAAAAAAAAGCUGCUGAUGUGGUUUAGUUCAGAUUAAUCUUCAUAAUCAAAUCAAAUGGAAAGUUUGUAAUAUAAAGAAAGGCCUGAUAUGAUAUGCAAUUGACUUAUUUACAAGCUUGAUUGAAGUGAAAGAAUUUUUGUGCCUUGGACUUCUUUUGUGUGCCCUAAUAAUAAACUUAAGCUAUUGAACUCCAAAUAGGCUUGAUUUUAAGUGUCGGUUAACUAUACACUUACAGGUGUUUCUUCAAAUGAUUUUGGAUGUAAGAUGUCUUGUACGUUUUCGUGUGUGUUUGAUUCUCAGAGAAAGUGUCAUUAAUUUGCAGAUGUUGAAUGAACCUCUGUUUUUCAUCUUGAAUUAUAAUAAUUGCCUGAUAUUUGUGCAUACAUGUGUAUUUAUUUUUCCUUCCUCACACUUCAGUGUCUGGGUAAAAGGGUGUUGAGGGGGAGACCUUAUUGCUUUCUUCCAAUAUCUGAAAGGUGCUUACAGCGAGAGCAGGGUUGGUCUCUUCUCACUGCUGACAGGUGACAGCAUGAGGGCAAAUGGCCUCAAGUUGCACCAGGGUAGGUUUAGGUUGGAUAUCAGGAAAAACGUGUUUACAGAAAGGGUGGUUAAGCACUGGAAUAGGCUCCCCAGGGAGGUGGUUGUGUCACCACACAAAAACCAUCUGGAUGUGGUGCUCAGGGACGUGAUUUAGCAGAGGACUGUUAGAGUUAGGCUAGUAUGGUUAGGUUGUGGUUGGACAUCUUUGGAUGAUCUUCAAGGUCUUCCAACCUGAGCAAUUCUGUGAUUCUGUGUGUGCAGCCUUUUGUAGUGUAGGAAAGGUAGAAAUUGCACUUUAAUAUACCUUCUUCCAUUUUGUUCAAAGGGGUUAAAAAAAAAAAAAGUUAACAGAAUAGUAUUGCCCUAAUGUCUAAAAUUUUACUCAGUUUGAUCUUAACCAGUGACUGUUUUAGGAUAUCAUGAAUCAGUAUCAGAGCUAGAAACACCUAUGCUGUUGUGCUGAGAAGCUUGCAUGCCAGGCUUCAGGAGUGGUUUGUGUCUGGCUGUAGUAACUCAGGAGAUACGUGAACAGACCUAUGCACAGGCAUUGCGCUCCCUAAAUAUAAACUGUUCCCAGUCAUGUCUAGACUGACAUCAGAACUGUACUUGUGCAAGCCAUGCUGUUCUUCAGGUUCUAGUUAUUAGAAGGAACAUCUCAGCUUUGUGGUGGUGUUGCAGGUUUGAAUUUUGUGUGCCUUUGUGUUGCUCAGUACACCUUUUCUUUCUGCUGUUCGUGUCAGAAGGUGUCCAUUGCAAUUGACCAGCAAGAUAAAUAUUCUUCAGCGCGUUUCAAGCUUUGAGAAUGUGUCAGUAGAUGAGUGGAUUGAUAGAUCAGUAAAUGAAUUCCAUUUCUAACUGUUCUUACUCAACCUCUGAGUUUUAAUGAUUAUUUCAACUGUUGCUAUAGUGUUUAACCUGCUCAAUUGCACAACGUUCAGCAUUAGAGAAGCUUUCUGGGAGAAGACUUGUCCUGAUUACAGAAGAAGUUAGUUUGAUUGUAUUCUGCAUAGAUCAUGUGUUACAAGUUCUUUUUGUUUUAUUAAAUUGAGAAAUAUAUGCUGUGCCCACAGCUAGUAAAGAUAAAUGAGUGUUUAAAGCGCACCUACAAUUGUUAUAGAAAAGUAAGCAGCUCAGAGUACAUGACUACAUAAACUGAGGUCUUUAUUCUGUAGCAGUGGUCUCCUUCUAGAUUUGUGACUUAAUACUGUUGAAUAGUACAAAAAAGAUUGCAAAAAGUGGUAUCUUCCAUUUGUUUUUCAUUUAAUAUAAUUGCUCCUUAUUUAUUUGACAACCUGCCGAACUACUUUUGUUAAUGUAAACAAGCAGAGGUCAGCUGCUUUUAAAGGUGGGGAACGCUUAAACUUAGAAUGCACCAAUGUAAAGAAAAUACAGUGGUAUUUCUGGUAAGUGUACUAAGAGGAGGGGAAAAAACAGCAACCAGCACCAGGAGCUUUGAUCAAAUGCCAGCUCUUACAUCAGUCCUCUUUGUAAUCUUUCUUGCUGAUCUGUGACCUUGACCUUGUGUUUGUGUUUGUAUGUCAAAUCUAUUUUAGGGAUGGGCAAACUAAGUUCAGUUUAGUAGGAUUUAUACUGCAGCUUCAUAGGAUGCCUCAGUACAAUAUAAAAAUAUUCUGGUUGUUCUAUUUGUGUGUAUAAAUUAUGCAUACAUGUAUAUGUGUAGUAUGCAUUUUUUAAAUUCUGCUUAGGAGAUGCUUCUUAAAGGCAUCUUCAUCUGACUAGUAAAGUCAUCAGAGACAGUCUGCCUGGGUUUCUUCCUAGAGAAUCUCAACAGGUAGAGAGACUUCUGCUGUUUGCUUUUGGCACAAGUGUGGUUUGAAUCUAAAAAGUAGGCUCUGUCCUUUGUCCUACACGCUUCUCCAGACACGUUUCUCAGACAUCCCCACAUGGAGAACAGUGAAGCAAGCAUUCUGUGGCAUUUUGGGAGGUUCCUUUGGUGACAUUGAGGCCCUUAGUCCUACUUACCCAGUAGGAGCUUUAUGUAAGAACACUUGUGUCAGUGGAAGGAAGGUGACGAGCAAGCAGCUGAAGGUCCAUGGAGUCAUGUGUUCUGGCAGCAGCUUCACUCUUAAAUUAGACAAAUUUCUGUAGAACCAUGUUUUUAUAUACAUCUAAAUGUGCAGCUUCUGAACUAGUCUGUUCUAUUUAUUACUGGACUUCUUCAUGGUGGCUGAGAUUGACUUUUUCCUACAAAAUGAUGAGACUCACUAGCAGCCAGUUAAUGAUUUGCUGGUGCUGUGAUUGUUCAACAGGGUUCUUGGGCACAGGCUUAAUUUUAGAUGGAAGCUGGUUUUGUAACUGGCAUUGUAGGCAUAUGACUUUAUAAAGGCUUAGUAAACUUGUUGGUUUGAGAUGUGCUUUGAAAGGUGGUCCCAAAUUAGCUGAUACUUAUAAUGCUUGUCAUUUUCUUUUUUUCCAACAUAAAAUUUGAGAAAUUAUUUCAGAAUGUUUCCCUUUGUACUGUAGGGUAGUUAAGCAUUUCCACUUGCUGGCCUUCCAUUAUUCUUACAGUGGCUUUUCAUCAGCACAAACAAAGUAAAAGUUUUCAUUGUUUUUUUUUUUAUCUAAGUCAGUAUUUUAGCUGUUCCAACUUGACUUGAGGUUUAGGUCAGUAUGGUUCAUGGAUGUGUGUGCAGCACAAUUCCUAAAAUUUGAGAGUGUUGUUAAGUAAUCAUCCCUGUACAUUGGUAUGACUUAAAAGGCUUUCAGUAUUUCGUUGGAAAUUGAUGAGUAUUUUCAGGUAAACUCUGGCACAGUUUAAAGAUGAGAAAUUUCUGUGACAUUCUUCACAGGAUGUUGUUAGCUUUUUCUCCCCAAAAUUCACUUAAAUUUGUUCUUAUGUUACAGAUUCAUUUCUGUUGAUGUUUUUGCUACUUAGGAGAAAAAAAUCAAUUUUGUAAAGAACUAGAAAAAACCUUCUAGUUAAUGCGGGCUUUUCCUUUUCCACUUAGCUGAAAUUAUAUGAGCCUUUCCUGUGUCCUUACCUUUGGAAACAUGACCUACAGAAGACUCAAGUCUCAUUAAAAUAGAAAUAAUAUUGUUCUUUCACUUAAAUGAAAAUAAAAAGGAAUCUAUCUGUAUCUAUAUAUAAAUAUAUAGAUUUGAGAUGAGGCAUAGGUCAUUCUGGAAGUAAUGCCUCCUUUUAUUUCUAUGGAAGCUACAACAGAUACAAAGAGCACAAUAACACUAUUUGAGCAAGUUCUGAGCUACAAAACACUAUUUUUCAGCAUAGUCAACACCAUCAGCUAUGCAUUUUUACCACUGAUAAGCAGGAGCCUGUAUGCAUACAUGUAUGGAAAAAAACAUCUGCUCCAGCAGUUGACUCACUGUUUCACAGCAGCUGUGAUGGUGUGUUGCUAGGAAAAUGUGGCCCUCACAGUAAAAUAAAUCAGGCCCAAGAGAUAGAAGACAGAAGUUGCCAAACCUUCAGACCAUGCGAUUGGUGUGGGAUGACAGUCUAGCCAAGAUGGCAAUGUGCUCCUCAGUCUUUCAAACUGAUACGGGGCCUGGCAUUUUGGUGUUGCAGGAGAAUGGUUAUCUUCUUCUCUGGCCUGAUUCUGGAAGUUGAAGCCUUCAGCUUAAUCGGUUUUGCAGUAUAAUGUAAUGGUUAGAGUUUGUUUGCCUGGGUUCCAGGAUAUUGACAAGAAUCCCCCUUUCCUAUCCCUAAAGACAACACACAUCCUUUUACCUACUGAGGGCUGCUUCUUGAACUUUUUCUUCAGUGGGAAAUUCACCUGUUGUUACUCCAUGGACUGCCACUUUGACUCUAGCUUAUAGCGGUGCCAUCACAUCUACUUACCAGUAAUGAUGCAAUUUGGGAAACUGUCAUCUUCAACCUUGUGUUGGUUCAGUAGGUCCUAACAAACUUUCAUAUGGUGUCUUCUGUUUCUCUGUGAGAAACUGUGAGACCCGAUGUGUGCAAAGUUAAUGGUAUUCCAACAUUGCCACCAUUGUUUUCAAUGCAUUGAAUCCCAUAUUCAGCUUUGUAUGCAGUUCCCUGGUUGUAAUACACUUAUUUGUGUGAGUGAGCUGAUUAUACUGUGUCAGCUGUCCAUGGCCAGCCAGAACGUGGCUUGUCUUUUACAUUGCUGUCACCACUGCUGAAAUGCAUCACCUCUCAUCUGUUGCAUGACAAUAAAAUGUAGUGGAAUAUUGUCAGGAAGACUGAGUCUCUAUCACCAUACCACCGCUAUCUACCUCUGACAUCAUGGACCAGCAUAAUAAAAUUGGAGGCAUCACUUUUGGAGCAGCCCUUCUGCAUAUAUAAUUGAAUAUUAUGUGAGUGUGAUCCUAUAUCUUACUAUGGAAUUACUGUGUGGGUUUUUUUUUACUUUAGUUGAAACCUAUUCUGCAGAAAAUUAAAAAAAUAAAAAUAAAAAAAUAAAAAAAAAAGCUCAUUCAUAGCUAGCCAUGAGGCACUUGGUCCCCCAUGGUUGCACUGUCAGUUACCUUCAACACAUAUCAGAUGUGUAGAAAUGUUAUCUACAUGCAAUAAUCGUAAGGUAAAACCAUGAUUGUCCUGAAGUCACUGUAUAUUAAUCACUUUGUAUUAAUCAAGUUGCAUUCUUGGGGAACUGACACUGUUAAGAGCAAAAUCGUUUGUUAGGGGAAGGUGGUGAAAUAGAAGUCUGGAUGUUAGAUUUCUUUUAAUUAUGUAAAUAAUUAUGAAGUAAGCAAUAUAUGAAGAUUGGGAAGAUGCAUCCUCUGUCCACUCCACUGUACCUAUUAGUAUAUAUAUAUUUUUAAAAUAAAUGAUAAAUUUGUUGAGCCUGUUUGCUUUUGGUAUCCUUGGUAUUUGUUGAGAAACAGCUUCAGAGGCGGUCCUAGAUGCCGAAUAUUCACUUCCUUCACAAGUGAUAUUUAGAAAUUGAUAUUGCUCUUAUUAGAGCAAUGUGUUUUUGGAGGAUAGCAGAUCCUGAUCAAGAAAUGAACUCAAAGGUACCCUUUGCAUCACGCUUACAAAUACUACUGAAGGAGCACUUCUUUUUAUUUCAGUGAUAAGAAGUUUAUGUGUGUGAGUCUCUGCAAAGGAAUUAACUGAAAUUUACAUAAAAUACUCAAUUAUUGGUGUAAUCAAAAGUGACAUGGGUGUCUGUAAGCUAUGGGGUAGCCAACAUUGCUAGGGCUUUUGGUCUUCCAUGUGAAGAUACUUUGCCUCUUAAUUUGACAUGUUCCAGCUUCUGCAUCUCUCCUCGCAUGUGCAUUAAUAAAAUUAUGUCUCUUUGCAUCCCUUCAGGUUAUUGUGUCAACUUUUAGGGGAUCAAUCUUCUGCACAACUUACCAUAACCUGACUGUUUAAGCAGCUGAAAUCAUCUGAAGGCUUUGUCUGGCCUGAUGUAGCUUUCUUCCUUUCAGUUCAAACCUUAAAACUUCUGCUAAUGCCAGAAAGUAAGGUCAGGAUUGCUUUUGGCAGUACAGAGCCUAACAUAGCACCAGGGAAAAGAAGCAUAGCCAGCAGAUUGAGAGAGGUGAUUCUGUCAGUCUACUCUGUGCUGGUGAGACUUCACCUGGAGUACUGUGUCCACUGUGAAGUCUCUGAGUAGUUGAUAUGAGAGAGACAUAGAUCUGUUGGAACGUGUUCAGAGGAAGGCUACAAAAAUGAUCCAAGGGACGGCGCACCUCUCCUACAAGGGCAGACAGAGAGCUGGGGCUGUUCAGCCUAGGGAAUAGAAGGCUGCAGGGGAUCCUGAAAGUGGUCUUUCAGUAUCUGAAGAUGGAUAUAAGAAAGGACUGGAUCUGUUGUGACAGGACAUGGAGAAAUUAUUUCAAACUAAAAGAGGGGAUAUUUAAGUUGGUAUAAAGAAGGAACAUUUACAAAUAAGGGUGAUGAGACAGUGGAACAGGAUGCCCCGAGAGGUGGUGGGUGCCCUAUUCCUGGAGACAUCCAAGGUCAGGCUGGACAGGGCUCUGAGCAACCUGAUCUAGCCCUAGGUGUCUCUAUUUAUUGCAGGAUUUGGACUAGAUGGCCUUUAAGGGUCCCUUCUAACUCAAACGAUUUUAUGAAUCUAUGAAAAGGUUCUCCUGCCCUGUCAUUUUAAAGGGUGAGUGGUGAUUCUGCAGGACUGUGGCAGCAUGGUAAGGAGUGUCCUGGUUCUGGCUGCUGGGGCUCCACUUCUGCAGUGCCUUGGAGUCCCUGGAAAAGUCUGGCAACAACCUUUCAAACUGCAAUGUGAUCCCCAGUGUGCCCUCUCCCGAUUCAGCUUUUUAAAAGCAGCAGGGUAUCUUUUCCAUGUUUAAAAUCUCUUGGAGUAAGUAGGCCCCAUCAACAAGUAAACAGUAUGCCAAGCUGUUGGGAAGGAGUCGGUGUUUCCUUUCUCGUAGUGAUAUCCUGGGAUCAUAGGGAAAGUGUUUGGUUUUCAUGAAUUUAUUAUUAAAAAAAAAAAAAGGUAUGUUGAUUCAUAAAUUCUCUAGUGUGCAACUGUGGAAUAUUCACCUGUUACUGAAUUUUGCUCUGUAAUCUAAUUAUUUUUGCACUUUUCUUUUUUCUUUUUUUUUUUUUUUUUAAAUAAAAGGGAAAGGAAAUCUUCAGAAUGCCUUUACAGACUAAAUAAAAUCUGUGAAGAGGUCUCAGCUGCUCCAUUCAUCUCAGUAGAGUUCAGAAGUAAAGCAGGGAUUUAGCAAAACACUUAAUACUGGCUUCUCUUAAAGUACAUGCUUAAUUGCCUUUGAAGUACCUCCACAUUUGUGCUGCUGUAUGCAUUCGGUGCAGUGCAUCAUGCCUUUUUCACUGCUUGUAACCUUAGCAAAAAGUCAACAGAAGUGCUUGUACCACCACUCUGAAUACAUCCUUCCUGUCUGCUGAAGUCCAAGGAAUGGAGCUCAGAACAAAAUAAUUGUGGGACAGCUAUUUUUCCUUUCUACACUUGUAUUCAGUCUACUGAAAAAUUCUGCUGCAAUUUCCAUUCUUCGCUCAUGUGGGAAUCUUUGUGUAGAACUUAAUUUCAUUCUGCUCUGCAGCAUCUCACUACAGACAGCUUGUAAGAACACAAUCGUUUGAAAUCCUGUUUUAGGUGCUUGCUCAGUACUGUUACUGAAGCUGUUAAGCAACUUAAAGUCUUUAAUAUAUUUAUCCCCUGUUGUAUUUUUGAUGUUUGCAUCUAUUAUUUUACACCAUCUGUGAAAAUACGAUAUAGAAAAGUAAAACCAGAAGUCAUUCGGCCUGCCUGAAGCACAGCAAGUAACCAAGACCCCAGGAUCACAAGCUGCUACUGUAUUCCCUAGAUUCCUCAAAUGAACAAUGAUGAAAAUGACCGUCUGAAACACCACUUGACAUGAUGGGCUGUAGCUGCUCUGGGAAUAUGAGAAUAGGUAGGCUGUGAGCUGUAGUGGGAGAUUUAGAAAGGAGAAGUACUAGCCAGAGAUACCAGUUAAACAUGUUUAUAGGUGACAAUGUAAAUCAUUACCUGUUUUUAAUUUAUUAAAUGGUAACAACUCAGUGUCUAUUGGUUAAUUGCAGAAUGGCUGUUUUAGCAUUUCCAGGUAAGUUUUGCAGCGGAGGCAUUCAUUAAUUGAAAAAACUUAAGAGUUGCUUUUGUUUUCUCAGUGUCAUCCCACAGUCAUAGGGAAGAGUUUGAUCUCCAUUAAUUUAUUGUUAAGAAAAGGCGUGUUGAUUCUCAGAUUCUCUGGAAGAAUUCAUCUGUUGCUCAGUUGUGCUCUAUAAUCAGAUUAUGUUUUCUCUUUUGUCUUUAAAAAAAAUUCGGAAGGGGAACCUUCAAAAUUCUUGACAGCCUGAAUCAAAUCUGUGAAGAGGUCUCAGCUGCUGCAUUCAUCUCAAGAGACUUCUGAUAUAGAGCAGAGAUUUAGCAAUAUACUAUAUGUAAACUAUGUGUGUGUAUAUAUACGUGUGUGUGUGUGCAUGUCAGCAAAAAGCUAUUGGUUCAGAUGUUGUUGUUUUAACCUAGAAGGGUUUGUUCUCCAAUUUAUCUUUUGUGGCAGUAAUACUUCAUGUUAACUGAAGGAUGUCAGAGUAUAUUGUUAUUUUGCCACUGAAAUCUUUGCAACUACCAAGUAUAUCCGUAGUUUGCAAACAAAGAAGAACUCUUGAUAACUGCAAAAGUAAAAUUAAUAUUCUGGACAUCCAUGAUUUCUACAGUUCAAUGCGUGUUAUAAUAUUCUCUUAUCUUCCUCACUCUGCCUACAGAUUCUCCCUGGGCACUUUUUAAAAGGCUGUAGGACUGAUUUCCCAUGGUAUGCUCCACUUUCGGAGUGUCUCUCCAGGUUACAGCAUUUGUGUUGUGAGUCGUGCUGCUGCUUUAGUUCUGUCUAGGUAAACAUGACUUAAUGAGCUGUGAUCGGUGUGUGGUUGUGUUGGUUCUGAAAAUAGCCUCUGCAAAACAAGCCUUUUAUUUGUAGAAUACGAGAAUUUGUGAAGAAAGAGUUGAAACAACAAAAAGUGGUUCACGCACAGUCAUUGCCUGGUCAAGAAAGCAUAUCAAAUUGAAUUUAUCAUUUCUUUCACUAUAGUGAAAUAUAAUUCUAGAGAUUCGGAGACAUUAGGUACAUAAGAUCCCCCUUCUCUUCCUUCUUUUUUUAACAUUCUAUUUUUAUUUCCUCAUUUCAGAUGAUUUCUGCAAUCAUAUUUAUUGCACACUUUCAGGGAAAUUCUUUGGUUUAGUCAAUAUGUUUUGAAAGGGUUACUGAAUGAUUGUGUUACUGAAUGAUUUUGUCUAGCUAAACAUUAAUUCCCAAAGCUGGUUCUGAUUCCGUAUGACCACACAUCAGACCAGAGAGUGGAAGAUAAGCAUACCAGAUUCAAAACUUGCAAGAAAUGCGUAGUUGUGAGACUGUUUUCAAAUAGGUUAAUUUACUACCAGGCUUUUUGUCACAAAUAAAGUAUGGGUUUAGAGAUUUUUUUUUUUUUUUUUAAAUGUGAUUUCCAUUCUUGACAGGUGACUUCAUAUUUGCAUGUUGCACAUCAGGUCCGGCAGGAUUUUUUAAUGCUAUGAUAGCCACUGUGAUACUAAAUCAGUGCAGCUUCUUUAGAAGGGUCUGUGAUGUCCUUUUCCUCAUGUUAUAUGCCUUUCAGAUUUCAUUCUCUUCAAUGAAAGCUCCCUUGCAUCAUUAGACUUCAGUAAAAUUAUGAAUAUUUCUUUGCCCUUGAGGAAUUUCAAACAUGCAAGCAAACAAACAAACCAAAAAAAGAAGAUAAAAGUGGCAAGCCGCUGUUUAGAGUACCUGCACAUAAACUGUACUGGCUACAAGUGUCACCUCUUGCAGUAGUCUUUUUGAGCACCUAAGGAAUUCACAUAAAUGCAUUGUACUUUUAAAAAUUAAUUUUAUAGUGAUGUCUUCCCAAAUACCAGCUUAACACAGAGUGCACUGGCUUGGGGCUUUGGCUUUAAGGGAUGCUUUAAGGUAGCUGCAGUGUAUGAUAGUGAAAAAACGCAGUUUUAUUUUCUUAAGCACAAAGGAGGGUAUCAAGUGCUACUUGCUCCUGUAUAAGAACAACAUGCUGUGAGCUAAAUUGCCUUUUGAAAUGUGAAAAUGUAUCUGCAGAUAAACUGUUUGGUUUUGGAAGCUGGAGAACUUUGUUUUCUGGAUAAAGUAUAUUUCCAAAUAUUUAAGAAAAUAAACUUAGCUGUAUAGACAUGGCACUUUCUGGAUGGUUGACAUAUUCAUGAGAAGCAUUGUGUAUGAGCUAUUUUUUUUUCCAAGGACUUGCUGUUUAUUAUAUUUGAACCUUUGCAAAAGUCAAUGCACAGACACAGAGAAUGUUGAAGAAACAGUGAGAUCAUAGGCAAUUUGUGAGAGAAAUACUGAUUCCCAAGAAUGAGCUACCAACUUUCAGUUCAUUGUUUAGAUACAUGGGUAUACUCAUUUACACUACAGUGUUUUAGCUGGUGUUUUAGUUCUGUGGGUUUUUGUUUUUUGUUUUUGUUUACUUGUUUGUUUUGAAUAGUUUGUGGAACUUCCUUAAAUGACUUGAAGUCUACUAAGAAUGUAUUUGUACAGGAACGUCUAUAAGGUAUUAGCAUUAUGGCUGUGUAGCUGUUGUUCUAAUUCCAUACUUUUCUCAGAUUUGAUAUUUUUCUAACUUCUAGUUGCCUGUAGCUUUUGAAUUAAAAAAAAAAAAGCCUCUGUGCAAUCAAUCAUAAAGCAUUCAUUCACUUUAAGGAUGCAUGGCUUUCACCUUUGUAUAUCCUUCUGAAAACUUGUAUUUACAAGUUUAAAUAUGCUUUUAGUCUGUGAAAGAAAAUUGCAGAGCUAGGUAUGUUGAAAGGCACUUAGCUGUGUUCAUGUUGAAUAUUAAUGCUAUGUGGAACUGAAAGAGAAAAGAAGGAGGCAUGUGUGGUAUAAUGAUCUCAGUACUGAACUGCGUUAACUGUGUGAACUGUUCAUGCUACCGUUGACCAACGUAAAACUAAGAGAUACAUCUAAGCGUAAGAACCAUUGUGUUUUUUAAAUCUACAUUUUAUAGCAUACUGCCUCAUCCAGGUAAGUAUUGAGUAGAGAUGUUCUACAUGAAUGACUUUGAAAACAGAAAGGCUUCAAAGAAGGCCUGCUUUUUCACCAGUUUACAUUGAAUACAUGGAAAGAGUGUAAAAGUAAAUAUCUUUCAAAGAAGAUUUACCAGGAACAUGUUAAUAAUCACCUUUUUCUCCACUCUUGACUCUUCUAAUUACUUAAUGGUAGUUAGGAGUUGGAAGAUCAGAAAUGUGCUCAUAUGUGUUGCAGCUUAUUCUGGUAUUUGAAAAGAAAUUCAACAUGAACCUGAACACUGACUCUUAGGUAUAUAUAUUUUUCCCAUUAUUUUUCUUUCACUGUGGUGUUGUUCAUGCCUUGUGUAUUCACAUGCUAACAUAAAAAUAUUGAUGAAACUGUGAGGUAGAAUCCAGUGUAAACUUUUCUGAGCAGUAUUUUGAUUUUUCUUUCAUGGUUGCUAGUUCUUAUUUUGAGCUGUAGAACAGAGGAAUUCAAUGAUCAUUUCUUGUAGCUACACUUAGAAUAGUUCACUUUAGCUUAGAUUUUACAUAAUGCUUUCUGUCUCAGAAUCAUUUUUAGAGUUCUUCAAAUUAGGUGCCACAGACUCAUUGCAUUACUCAAUUAUUUCUUCUGGAGUGUGAUUAUUGCUUAUACAUCUUGAAUCUCUUUAGAACAAUGUGUGGAAAAAAAACUCAGUUUAUUUAGAUCUUACCCUAAUUCUUUUUCUUGACCACUGUUUUUGUUUUGUUUUGUUUUGUUUUUUU